UCGGAUGUGAAAUCCCCGGGCUCAACCUGGGAACUGCAUUCGAAACUGGCAGGCUUGAGUCUUGUAGAGGGGGGUAGAAUUCCAGGUGUAGCGGUGAAAUGCGUAGAGAUCUGGAGGAAUACCGGUGGCGAAGGCGGCCCCCUGGACAAAGACUGACGCUCAGGUGCGAAAGCGUGGGGAGCAAACAGGAUUAGAUACCCUGGUAGUCCACGCCGUAAACGAUGUCUACUUGGAGGUUGUGCCCUUGAGGCGUGGCUUCCGGAGCUAACGCGUUAAGUAGACCGCCUGGGGAGUACGGCCGCAAGGUUAAAACUCAAAUGAAUUGACGGGGGCCCGCACAAGCGGUGGAGCAUGUGGUUUAAUUCGAUGCAACGCGAAGAACCUUACCUGGUCUUGACAUCCACAGAAGAAUCCAGAGAUGGAUUUGUGCCUUCGGGAACUGUGAGACAGGUGCUGCAUGGCUGUCGUCAGCUCGUGUUGUGAAAUGUUGGGUUAAGUCCCGCAACGAGCGCAAC
rnacentral:rRNA from 1 species